rnacentral:rRNA from 1 species
GAUGAACGCUGGCGGCGUGCUUAACACAUGCAAGUCGAACGAGAAGUGAAGACGGAACCCUUCGGGCGGAAGGCUUUAUUUCGAGUGGCGGACGGGUGAGUAACGCGUGGGUAACCUGCCUCAUACAGGGGGAUAACAGUUGGAAACGACUGUUAAUACCGCAUAAGGCCACAGCACCGCAUGGUGCGGGGGUAAAAACUCCGGUGGUAUGAGAUGGACCCGCGUUCGAUUAGCCAGUUGGCGGGGUAACGGCCCACCAAAGCGACGAUCGAUAGCCGAUCUGAGAGGAUGACCGGCCACAUUGGGACUGAGACACGGCCCAAACUCCUACGGGAGGCAGCAGUGGGGAAUAUUGCACAAUGGGGGAAACCCUGAUGCAGCGACGCCGCGUGAGUGAAGAAGUAUUUCGGUAUGUAAAGCUCUAUCAGCAGGGAAGAAAAUGACGGUACCUGAGUAAGAAGCCCCGGCUAACUACGUG